GGUCAUUGUCAAGAUUGCUAACUUUCUACAGUGUGUUUUCAAUUAAGUAAAUAAAAUGUGGUAAUUAAAUCAAGAUUGCAUAAUAUGUUUUUGAUUUGUAAUCUCAUUUAAAUUAAUUAACUGACUCAAUCCUUGUUUAGUUUUUAAACUGGCCUAGUUAUGGAAAGAGUCCCCGGGAGCAAAUCCAGUUUUCUAUCUUUAAAAACAAGGCAGAGAAAUCUGGCAUGCUUAAGACUCAAGUGGAACUCACCAGCAUACCAUAAACAGGAGGGGAAGAGUGUUAGAGCUGAGGGGGAGGAGCUCUGUGACACGAUGUUGACUGGGGAAAAAAAAAUAGUUCUCACACUGGAGAGAAAUAAAUUGAAACAUUAUUUAUUCAAAACAUUUCUUUCCCAAUUUUAUGAAGAUUGCAUGUUUGUUGGGAGCAAAACAUUUCCAGCUGUAUUUUAAGUUUCUGAAGAGAGCUGAACAAUUUAUAAUCUUUCAUAAAUGCUGCCCGUAUCUCACAAGACUCCACGAACACGCCACUAUGUACUUCAAGGAACAAUUCACCAGUGCAGCUUGCCACAGAAAAAUAAUUGAGCACCUUCCAGAAACCUAGCCGGAUCCAGGAGGGUCCAGGACCAGGACGAGGCGCCCAUAACUCGCUUUCAUCUGGGAGAUAGUUUGGCUCUCAGAGAUACUACAUAAUACAUUCUCCCCUCACUCGGGAGUAAAGAGCCUGCACUUUGAGAAACGUGUGUGGAGCGAGCUGGAAAUAAAGCACAAUGCCCCGAGACUUGAAAGCAAAAUCAUGGAGGGGAAUUUAAAACUCCAUGCAGACUUUCCACAGAAAGCAAAUCGGCAUUCACGUUCUCGGUCUGGUAUCCUGUUAAAAGGAGCUUGUGGGAAAAGAAAUGAUACUUCCCCUGGAACCCCUUUGGUAUUUGCUCCCUGCCUGGCUGAGGCUAUCACACCUGCUCUAGCUUGUCCCCAGCUUGGUUCCCAGUACUCUAAAUCUUAUACAUCACAACUUUGCCUGCAAAAGUCCCUUCUGUGCUAUGCCAUUUCAUGUAUUUUCACCAAACUUAAUUUUUUUUUUUUAAUCUAAGUUAAAGCCAAACCGACACAGUACUCUCUAAUGUUUCACCUGUGAUCUUUGUUCCCCAGGCAGGACGUGUUCCCCCCACACUGACCUGAGUCUGGACUCCUGCCUUCCUCAGCCAUUUGUACUCUGACCCUCAGCAAACUUCCACAGGCCAGAAUCCGCUGUCACCUUGCCCACUCGUUUACAAGCUGGAUAAAAUCUCACCCACCCGUGUUCACACCAAUAAACCCAGUACUUGGGAGACUGAGGCAGGAAGGCCGUGGAGAGUGUGAUGCCUGCUUGGGCUUUUCAUAGUGAGUUCGAGGCCAGCCUGAGAUGCACUAGGAGACAUUAUCUUGAGAACAAAAAAGAUCAAGCUGAAGAAAACAAUACAGGAUAAGAAGGAGACAAAGGCUUAGUCUGAACUGAACGAACUGUAAAAGGAUUCCAAAAUGGGGCAAAGGAGUCUGGAAUGGCACUUCAUACCCCUGAACACAGACAGUGAGAAAGACCAAAAUAGUCUUAACAUGUACGUUACAUUUUAAUUACUACCCCCACCCAGUAAAGCCCUUUGUGAUGAGUACUCCUGUUUUCCCACCAGAGUCCUGACAAAAAUGGUAACACAGGACUGGGUCAGUGUCCAUCUGUCCUGCUUGCUAUAUGUUGAACUCAUGGGAUCAAGACCUGUCCAGUUUUAUUCGCAGCUGAUCACAACUCUCAGCACACAGUAGGUGCUCACUUCUGUCUGAAUGAACAGCUACAAUUCUCUUGGAAGCAGCAUGGAAGCUAGUAACACUUGAACAGCUUCAAAUUACAAUUACAGAGUCGGCAAUAACAAUCAUAAAUUUGGCUUGUUUGUGUUACCCACGUGUAUUUUCAUUUUUAAGGAUCCACAACUUCUCAACAAAUAAGAUGUUGCGGUUUGUUGGGUCAAUGACUCUGAAGUCCUAUUUUUACCUUUUACAAUGCUUACUACAGGAAUGUUCUCUAAAAUAUUCUUUACUUGAAUAAAAAAAAUGUCUCCUUUAUGUUUAGCCUAAAAAAUCAGAUGGGCCUGGUGGCCUAACCAUUAAUCCCAGCACAGCGGCAGGCAGAUCUCUAAGCAGGAAGCCAUUCAGGACUGUACUCUGAGAGCCUGUCUUUCAAAACAAAGUUUGGCCAAGUCAUUUAAAUGUUUAUGUUUAAAUCAUUAUAUGAGCUUAUAGAAAAAAAUGAUAGGCUUUUACGUCACAUAUUGAUUGUGUGUGAUUAAUCACCUAUCUUUGCUUUUUAUUACAUCCUGGAACGUAAUUCACUGAUGUUAUGGAAUACCUCUAUGUAAUCUAAAGGUUCCAACAGUGGCUUUAACAAUGGAUGGGGAUGAGGAAGAACAGAUUCCUACAAAGGGUAAAGGCGGGCCUGUCAACUGUCCAUCAACGGUUGCUGUUUCUGACGCGUCCUUAUCAUAGUAAUAGACGAAAGAACCAAAGAAGUCACUUGAGGAACAGGAAGUCCUCUGAUUGUGGUAGAUAAUGGCUUGAAUGUUCCCACAGUUCCUUGAUAAGUGGUUCAAAGAACUUCUGUCCCCAUGUUUUCGGGGCAGAACCUAAUUUACCAGGAAAGCUCCGUAUAUAGCAUACCAUGGAACUAACAUGUUUUCAACAGUAAAAAACACAGAAAGGAGACAGUCACUUCCUCUUGCAAGUCAAGGCUGCACGAGAGGAAAUCCACUCAAUUACAUUGAUAAAAUAAUUAGGAAAAAAAGCUUACCUAGGGUUUUCUUCAUUUUUUUUUUUAUGCUUUUUUUUUUUUUUUUUGGUUCUUUUUUUCGGAGCUGGGGACCGAACCCAGGGCCUUGCGCUUCCUAGGCAAGCGCUCUACCACUGAGCUAAAUCCCCAACCCCAGGUUUUCUUCAUUUUUUAAAGGACGAUCAAUAUUAUUCUACAGACAUGUUUAAAAGGACUAUAAAAGGUUUACAAUCUAAAGUUACAACGUAAGUUUAUAAUCUACAACCUGCAUGAAAUGAAACGCAAAAACUUGUUAUAAUUAUGAAAUAAUCAUGUUUCAAAUGAUAACUUUUAAGAAAACUGUUUCAAAUACAGAUAAUCUAACAGAAUGAUAAAUUGCUUUUUUUUAUAAGUCCACUGUUGAUUCUAUAGAUGGUUUCUUGGAAGAUGAAGAAAAAAAAUAAAAGGAAAGAAAUGCCUAGUGCCAUGGCUGUUUAAAGAAAGAGACAAAGAGAACCCAAAUUAAUAUGAGGACUCUGAAACUUCUCAGAAUACCUGCCAUUUCAUCUUUGGUUGAGAUUCAAAUUACCUCCUCAUAAUUCAACUCUAUAAGCUAAUUUCAAAAGCAUGGAAAGCAAACAAGUAUCUACAAACUUUCUAUCCCUAUGUCUUACCCCUAAAAAUACACAGACCUGCAUAAUCAUAUAAAUCAAUGACUUCAGAAGUGAUGCAAUCUUAGCCUAGAUCACCUCAAACCCUUUAGGAUAAAUUCAUCUUCCAUGUUUAACACAACCAUACCUAGAGUUCUUAUUUCUCUAAACUGAUUACCAGGCCAGCCUUUCAAAACUGACACUACCUUCCAAUCAAAGAAACAAACUAUGUGCAUAUCCGACCAACAGCAAAAUCAUAAAAGAACCCAGAAACCCAUGAUGAUAUUUGCAAGUUACAGAUACUUGCCAGGGCAGCAAACAAGAUCUUUGCAGGUUCUUGGUUUCUCCUCCUAAUGAGCAGAAAUUCUGGUUUCUUUUUUUUUUUUUUUUUUUAACCUUAACAACAACGACAAUGCAGCCCAUCACAGGUUGGUUCUUGUUUCAAAGAGACUUAGGUGCUGGUUCUAAUUAGAGAAGACCAAAUUCAUUUUGAAAAGAUUAUUAAAAUUUGAAUAUUAAUCAAGGAGAUCGCCUAUGGAGAAUUUUUAAGGAGAACAUUCAAUCCUGUAUCAGGUAGAAUAAAAACACUCAGUGAUUCAAUUCCAGCAAAAUGGAUAGAUAGAUAGAUAGAUAGAUAGAUAGAUAGAUAGAUAGAUAGAUAGAUAGAUAGAUAGAUGUGAGAAAACUGUGGAUGAUCUCAUAGAAGCCUCAGGCUUCCUCCAAUUCCUUUUCCUGGAAAGCACCCCCCACCCCUUGCAAAAGGGAAUGAAUAAAGAAUUGGUUAUCUGUCAGUUUCUGAAUACGGCCUUGACCAGUUUUGUUGGUUGACACUAGGUGGGAGCAAUGGCAGGACCAAAGAAA